rnacentral:tRNA from 1 species
GCCUUCGUAGUGUAACGGUAGCACACUCAGCACGUAUUCGAGAGGUCCAGGUUCGAGUCCCGGGGAGGGUA